rnacentral:rRNA from 1 species
GUGCCAGCCGCCGCGGUAAUACGGAGGGUGCAAGCGUUAAUCGGAAUUACUGGGCGUAAAGCGCACGCAGGCGGUUGGAUAAGUUAGAUGUGAAAGCCCCGGGCUCAACCUGGGAAUUGCAUUUAAAACUGUCCAGCUAGAGUCUUGUAGAGGGGGGUAGAAUUCCAGGUGUAGCGGUGAAGUGCGUAGAGAUCUGGAGGAAUACCGGUGGCGAAGGCGGCCCCCUGGACAAAGACUGACGCUCAGGUGCGAAAGCGUGGGGAGCAAACAGGAUUAGAUACCCCCGUAGUCC